CUGCUGGGGAUAGCGAUCUCCCCACGAGGCGACAUGCCCAAGCAUCGCGUCCGCUUUUCGGAGAAGGACGCCGCAUG
rfam:Bradyrhizobium sp. STM 3843, WGS project CAFK01000000 data, contig: 00201-775